rnacentral:rRNA from 1 species
UACGGAGGGUGCGAGCGUUGUCCGGAAUCACUGGGCGUAAAGGGCGCGUAGGCGGCGCGGUAAGCGUGCGGUGAAAGCCCGGGGCUCAACCCCGGGUCGGCCGUGCGGACUGCCGGGCUCGAGCACUGUAGAGGCGGGUGGAAUUCCGGGUGUAGCGGUGGAAUGCGUAGAGAUCGGGAAGAACAUCGGUGGCGAAGGCGCUCUACUGGACCACAACUGACACUCAGAGACGAAAGCUAGGGGAGCGAAUGGG